rnacentral:rRNA from 1 species
UACGUAGGGGGCAAGCGUUGUCCGGAUUUAUUGGGCGUAAAGAGCGUGUAAGCGGCUAUACAGGUCCGCUGUGAAAACUCGAGGCUCAACCUCGAGACGUCGGUGGAAACCGUAUGGCUAGAGUCCGGAAGAGGAGAGUGGAAUUCCUGGUGUAGCGGUGAAAUGCGCAGAUAUCAGGAAGAACACCCGUGGCGAAGGCGGCUCUCUGGGACGGUACUGACGCUGAGACGCGAAAGCGUGGGGAGCGAACAGG